rnacentral:rRNA from 1 species
CCUACGGGUGGCAGCAGUGAGGAAUAUUGGUCAAUGGACGCAAGUCUGAACCAACCAUGCCGCGUGCAGGAAGACGGCUCUAUGAGUUGUAAACUGCUUUUGUACGAGGGUAAACGCAGAUACGCGUAUCUGUCUGCAAGUAUCGUACGAAUAAGGAUCGGCUAACUCCGUGCCAGCAGCCGCGGUAAUACGGAGGAUUCAAGCGUUAUCCGGAUUUAUUGGGUUUAAAGGGUGCGUAGGCGGUCGGAUAAGUUAGAGGUGAAAUCCCGAGGCUCAACUUCGGAAUUGCCUCUGAUACUGUUCGGCUAGAGAGUAGUUGCGGUAGGCGGAAUGUAUGGGGUAGCGGUGAAAUGCUUAGAGAUCAGACAGAACACCGAUUGCGAAGGCAGCUUACCAAGCUACUUCUGACGUUGAGGCACGAAAGCGUGGGGAGCAAACAGGAUUAGAUACCCGGGUAGUC